rnacentral:lncRNA from 1 species
GUUACGGUGCUUUUAAAUAACACCAAGUCCACUUUUACUUAAAGGUAUACAACAACAUCUGGACAUAGCAUUGUAUACUUCAGCACAGUUUCUAUAAAAGGAAGCUUUGGGCCUUAAAUUUUACCAUGUAUGAUGCAUCAGAUUCUUCAGUUCACUGUAUGAUGUAGGAUGAGACAAAAAGAGGACGAGGCGGAAACAAAAUUGCAUCAGCAAUUUUGAGAUGGGCAGAUAGUGUCAUACCUGACUGUGACAUGGAAGAAAUCACACUUUGUACAGACAAUUGCUAUGGACAAAAUAAGAAUGUGAAUAUUAUAAUGUGUUUUUUCUGGUUACUGCAUCGGUAUCCACAAAUUAAGACCAUAACUCGGAAGUUUCUACUAAAAGGUCAUACCCAUAUAAAGGCUGACAGUGUUCAUCCGUUGAUAGAGAGGAAAUGGAAGAAACUGAAUAAUAUGAGCAUUUUAAUACCCUGGGACUGGCAACAACUGGUAAGACAAACUUCUAGCAAGUACAUUGUUCAUAAUAUGGAAUUUCAAGAUUUUAAAAGUUUUAAUUUACUGUAUGCCUCAAAAGACUCUGCAAGGCUUCCCCUUGUUUAUAGAAAAAUGGAUAUUGAGAAAAGGCCAUUUCUUCUAUCAAAGUGUAUGCAAUUACACGUUAAACAGCAAAAUAAGGAAAUUCUGUAUUUCAAAACAUCUUUUGAAGGUGACUACAAGCAGGCUAACUUUGUUAAUUUCUGCAGACAUGGACUUAUAUUUCCAGCAGAUUUGAACCAAUUCUCAGAUGUCCCAUACC